rnacentral:rRNA from 1 species
UCAAAGGAAUUGACGGGGGCCCGCACAAGCGGUGGAGCAUGUGGUUUAAUUCGAAGCAACGCGAAGAACCUUACCAGGUCUUGACAUCCCAUUGAUUGGAGCUUAAUCGUUCCUUUCCUUCGGGACAAUGGAGACAGGUGGUGCAUGGUUGUCGUCAGCUCGUGUCGUGAGAUGUUGGGUUAAGUCCCGCAACGAGCGCAACCCUUAUCUUUAGUAGCCAGCACGUAAUGGUGGGGACUCUAGAGAGACUGCCGGGGACAACUCGGAGGAAGGUGGGGAUGACGUCAAAUCAUCAUGCCCCUUAUGACCUGGGCUACACACGUGCUACAAUGGCGGUUACAAAGGGAAGCUAAGGAGUGAUCUGGAGCAAACCCCAAAAAAACCGUCCCAGUUCGGAUUGUAGUCUGCAACUCGACUACAUGAAGUUGGAAUCGCUAGUAAUCGCGGAUCAGAAUGUCGCGGUGAAUACGUUCCCGGGCCUUGUACACACCGCCCGUCACACCAUGGAAGUCGGAGGCGCCCGAAGCCGGUGACCAAACCGUAAGGAUGGAGCCGUCGAAGGUGAAAUCGAUGACUAGGGUGAAGUCGUAACAAGGUAACCGU